rnacentral:sRNA from 1 species
UAGCGUGUCUGCUUGCAGACGAAGCUAUUGUGCUAUGAGAUGAUCAAACUGAUAUGAGUAAGUAGGGCGAUAGCCCGGAAUACGAAUAUCAGUACGGUUUCGGGAGUGCGAAGCACGGAGAAACCGGUUA